rnacentral:rRNA from 1 species
ACGACGACUCUCGGCAACGGAUAUCUCGGCUCUCGCAUCGAUGAAGAACGUAGCGAAAUGCGAUACUUGGUGUGAAUUGCAGAAUCCCGUGAACCAUCGAGUCUUUGAACGCAAGUUGCGCCCGAAGCCAUCCGGUCGAGGGCACGUCUGCCUGGGCGUCACGC